GAUGAACGCUGGCGGCGUGCCUAAUACAUGCAAGUCGAGCGAACAGACGAGGAGCUUGCUCCUCUGACGUUAGCGGCGGACGGGUGAGUAACACGUGGAUAACCUACCUAUAAGACUGGGAUAACUUCGGGAAACCGGAGCUAAUACCGGAUAAUAUAUUGAACCGCAUGGUUCAAUAGUGAAAGACGGUUUUGAUGUCUCUUAUAGAUGGAUCCGCGCCGCAUUAGCUAGUUGGUAAGGUAACGGCUUACCAAGGCAACGAUGCGUAGCCGACCUGAGAGGGUGAUCGGCCACACUGGAACUGAGACACGGUCCAGACUCCGACGGGAGGCAGCAGUAGGGAAUCUUCCGCAAUGGGCGAAAGCCUGACGGAGCAACGCCGCGUGAGUGAUGAAGGUCUUCGGAUCGUAAAACUCUGUUAUUAGGGAAGAACAAAUGUGUAAGUAACUAUGCACGUCUUGACGGUACCUAAUCAGAAAGCCACGGCUAACUACGUG
rnacentral:rRNA from 1 species